rnacentral:rRNA from 1 species
CAGCCGCCGCGGUAAUACGUAGGGUGCAAGCGUUAAUCGGAAUUACUGGGCGUAAAGCGUGCGUAGGCGGUUUGUUAAGUCUGUUGUGAAAUCCCCGGGCUCAACCUGGGAAUGGCAAUGGAUACUGGCAAGCUAGAGUGUGUCAGAGGAUGGCGGAAUUCCCGGUGUAGCGGUGAAAUGCGUAGAGAUCGGGAGGAACAUCAGUGGCGAAGGCGGCCAUCUGGGACAACACUGACGCUGAGGCACGAAAGCGUGGGGAGCAAACAGGAUUAGAUACCCCAGUAGUCCCUGUCUCUUAUAC